CCUACGGGUGGCAGCAGUGGGGAAUAUUGGGCAAUGGGCGAAAGCCUGACCCAGCAACGCCGCGUGAAGGAAGAAGGCUUUCGGGUUGUAAACUUCUUUUGACAGGGAAGAGCAGAAGACGGUACCUGUCGAAUAAGCCACGCGUAACUACGUGCCAGCAGCCGCGGUAAUACGUAGGGGGCAACCGUUGUCCUGAUGUACUGGGUGUAAAGGGCGUGUAGCCGGGCUGACAAGUCAGAUGUGAAAUCCGGGGGCUCAACCCCCGAAGUGCAUUUGAUACUGUUGGUCUUGAGUAUCGGAGAGGGAGGCGGAAUUCCUAGUGUAGCGGUGAAAUGCGUAGAGAUGAGGAGGAACACCAGAGGCGAAGGCGGCCUGCUGGACGACAACUGACGGUGAGGCGCGAAAGCGUGGGGAGCAAACAGGAUUAGAUACCCGGGUAGUC
rnacentral:rRNA from 1 species